rnacentral:lncRNA from 1 species
GAGUUCAAGGUGACUCUGAGAUACCUAAUUGGAGUUGACAAAUAGACAAUUAGAUACACAGGUCUCGAGCUCAGAGGAGUCAAAACUCCCUGAAAAGAGCUGUUUGCUACCCAGCUGCGGGUCUGAUGGUUGGCUACAUCCUGGGCACUUUGCAUGCUCUCCUAGAAACAAUUGUGUUGUCAAUUCUUUCAUUGGUUCAUUAAUUCAAUGAAUAUUUAUUAGACACCAGUGAUUGUGUGGGCUCUUUGCUAGGUGCAGGCUACAUAGCAAUGAGAACCAGAUGCUAUUCCUCUCCUCCAGGAACGAACAGCCAAUGUGGUCCUGAGUGGAUUCUUUCAUCUUCACCUUCUCACUGGAUUGGGGUUAUCAAAGGUUAGCUUCUGCCAUGAAUAUCUAGCCUCACCUACCCCUGAGAUUAGGCAGGAGUUUCAAAAGAAUCCUGAUGACGAAGACGCAAGACUAUUUGGGCUGGCUGGGCUCACGUGGACAGAGUACCUCCAAUCAGUGAGCUUUUGAGGCUUCCACUCAUAGAGUCCAUAGUGUCCAACUCUACUUACAAUAUGGUAAGUGCUCAAUAAAUACAGGUGGUCCCAACUUACAAUGGUUUAACUUAUGACUUUUCAACUUUACAAUGGUGUAAAAGUGAUAUGCGUUCAGUAGAAAUUGUAUUUCCGAUUUUGAAUUUGGGUCUUUUCCUGAGCUACAAUAUGUAGUGAGAUCCUCUUUUGGGAUGUUCUGCAGCAACCUUAAGCCACAGCUCCCAGUCAGCCAUGUGAUCACAGCAGGAAGCAGCUGACACUGAACAUUGUGUCGUGUGGCUGAGCUCUGAUACUUGGUAGGUUAGAUAUAUUACAUG